UAACCAUAUUUAGGCCCAAAACUUAGCCUCUGGUGCAUAUCCUGCAUGCAGCGUUUGCGGUAUUUUUGUAGGCAGCUUUCAUCUUCUUUCUCAUCUUGUAUUAAUUCAUACUCCUGCAUACUCAUCUGUGAAUAUUGAGAGAAUGCUAUAUAAAUCAGUGUCAACAAAUGACCACUCAAACAGGAAAAGUAUAAGUUGCUGGCUAAAGAGUGCUGCAUAGAAAGCUUAGCAAGAAGACCAAAAUCCUGGUGUUUCUUUAAUGUCUAUUGAGACAGGCAGGAAGAUCCCAUAUCAAGGUUUUUAAGCACAUUAAAAAACUUUCAAUUUCUUUAACCAGGCAUUUGAGUGCUUGCACUCCUGCACUGAGGCAGGGAAGGGAGCAUGAAAGGUCAGACUCAAAGGAUUGUGUGGUAUGUUGUUGUGAAGUAUUCUGCUUAUUUUACAGAAGUUAGACCCUGCUGGAGAGAGGGCUAGGUAGACAGUUGGAUCUGUAUUUUAGGUCAGGUAUUGCUAUUUUCAUGGUAAGCAAGUCUUCAUUCUUUGAAUAUGCUCUUGUUCUUCAAUGACACUAUGUAGCUGCAUGCCACUUAGUAGUAUAAUCUCUGCCCAAGAGGAUGCUUUAUAUUAAAUUUACAGUAUAAAUACAAAGUAAACUUACUGUCAGUAGUUCUGAUUUGUUCUGUCUAUAUGACAAGACUCCUAAACUGCCAAGGAAUUGAGUUUGGCGAAUUCAGGAUUUUCAUGUUUAUAGACUUACGCAUUUUAUACGGAAUCAAAAUGUAUUUAUUUUGCUUUUUCUUUUUUUUCCCUCUUACCUUACGACAGAAUCUCUCUCUGGUGUCUUUAUCAUCUUUACUGAAAGACCUGUGCGGUGAAGACAUUUGUCGAAGAAUUUCUUUCUUGCUCAAGGGAAGCUGAAGAGACUAGCUGUGUAACACAGAUCAGGCUGGGCUGGUGUGAACCUUUCACCUUCCUUGCUGUUAUGUUGUUAAGCAGAUACUCUUGCUGCAUUAAUAGCUUUCACUCUAUUAAUAUGGGAAGAGCCACCACCUAAAGGUGUUUCUUUUGUGCACAGCAGCACAAUGUGUACAGCAAUACAGUAUUCAAAUACCAAUUUACCUCCCAGUGACAGGAUUUGGAACAAAGCCGAAGUUCAGCAUUACCUAUCACCUGCGUGAUACGAAAAGAACUGCUUAUGCAAAACAGAAGAAAUAACAGUAUUGCAGUCCUAGGUAUGGGCAAAGAUGUCUUUAUUCCUUUGGUUUUCACUGCUAAUUUCAAGGGGAAACUGACAGUGUACUCAACAGC